rnacentral:rRNA from 1 species
UGAUGCAGCAACGCCGCGUGAGUGAUGACGGCCUUCGGGUUGUAAAGCUCUGUCUUCAGGGACGAUAAUGACGGUACCUGAGGAGGAAGCCACGGCUAACUACGUGCCAGCAGCCGCGGUAAUACGUAGGUGGCGAGCGUUGUCCGGAUUUACUGGGCGUAAAGGGAGCGUAGGCGGAUUUUUAAGUGAGAUGUGAAAUACUCGGGCUUAACCUGAGUGCUGCAUUUCAAACUGGAAGUCUAGAGUGCAGGAGAGGAGAAGGGAAUUCCUAGUGUAGCGGUGAAAUGCGUAGAGAUUAGGAAGAACACCAGUGGCGAAGGCGCUUCUCUGGACUGUAACUGACGCUGAGGCGCGAAAGCGUGGGGAGCAAACAGGAUUAGAUACCCUGGUAGUCCACGCUGUAAACGAUGAAUACUAGGUGUGGGAGGACUGACCCCUUCCGUGCCGCAGUUAACACAAUAAGUAUUCCACCUGGAGAGUACGACCGCAAGGUUGAAACUCAAAGGAAUUGACGGGGGCCCGCACAAGCAGUGGAUUAUGUGGUUUAAUUCGACGCAACGCGAAGAACCUUACCAGGAUUUGACAUCCAACUAACGAAGUAGAGAUACAUUAGGUGCCCUUCGGGGAAAGUUGAGACAGGUGGUGCAUGGUUGUCGUCAGCUCGUGUCGUGAGAUGUUGGGUUAAGUCCCGCAACGAGCGCAACCCUUAUUGUUAGUUGCCAUCAUUAAGUUGGGCACUCUAGCGAGACUGCCCGGGUUAACCGGGAGGAAGGUGGGGAUGACGUCAAAUCAUCAUGCCCCUUAUGUCUAGGGCUACACACGUGCUACAAUGGUCGGUACAAUAAGACGCAAGCCCGCGAGGGGGAGCAAAACUGGAAAACCGAUCUCAGUUCGGAUUGUAGGCUGAAACUCGCCUACAUGAAGCUGGAGUUGCUAGUAAU